rnacentral:rRNA from 1 species
AGCUCUGUAAGCGUAUACCAAAGUUGUUGCAGUUAAAACGCUCGUAGUCGAAUUUUGGCGGGCGAUGCAGGACGUCCGCGAGGAUGAUUUUGUGUUGGCCGCCUUUGUGGAUGGGGGGUCAGUGGUGCUUUAUUGGAUCGCUGAUUCGCCGCCACCGUUUACUGUGAAAAAAUUAGAGUGUUCAAAGCGGGCGAUUGCCAUGAAUAGAUUAGCAUGGAAUAAUAGAAUAGGACCUGGUCUUAUUUUGUUGGUUUGUUGAAAUCAGGUAAUGAUUAAGAGGGACGGUUGGGGGCAUUUGUAUUCCGGGGUUAGAGGUGAAAUUCUUGGAUCCUCGGAAGACAAACAGCUGCGAAAGCGUCUGCCAAGGACGUUUUCA